rnacentral:misc_RNA from 1 species
CAUUUAUUGGUCUAUGAUGCACAUGUCCAAACCAUCUUAAUAUCCCUUUUCUCAAUUUCUCCUCAACAAAUGCCACUUUUACCUUUCUAUGCAUGUAUUUGUUAUAUUUCCGUAUAUCCAUUUUAGUAUUCCCAUUUCUUCUAUGCUAAUAUUGUGUACAUGUCUUAUUCAUUGCCCAAUAAUUGUUGCCAUUUAUCAUAAUUGGUUGAAUUGUGUUCCUAAAAACUUUCCCUUCAUCUUCCUUGGUAAUUCGUGAUCACAUAGGACUCUAGUGACAUUUCAUCAAUUGGAGAAUCACCCAAUUAGAUAGUACAAUUAAAGCUAUGCAAUCCUUAUACUUGGACAGUAGAUCUAUGUGAUGGUAGACUUGCAAGUACAUAAAUAUUUAAGUUCCAUGCCUAUGAUGGUGAAAUAUGUGGUGCAUGCAAUUUGUACAUGCUAGAAGCUUGAACGGGAAGGAAUAGCUAAAAAAAUCUGCUCUAUUUCCAUCUUAGGUUUAUAUAUUGAAGAUAUGAAUGAAACAAGGAAAGACAGCUCAUCAACUUUUCAGCAAGUGAAAGUGUGCGCUGUGCACCCAUAUAAUUCUUCAUAAUUUGGCUUACUUCUGGGUGAAUCCAAUGUUAUGCCCAUAAAGAAAAAUGAACAAGUAGCAAAGGUUGCACUCUUUCUCCUUUGAACAAUUUCAUAAUCAGUAUAACUAUUCUUAUGCUUUAUUGAUAAAUGUCACACAUACACUGUUUCUCUCAUAUAAAGGAGACUUUGUUCAAGCAAGUCCUCAUUUCACACUCUCAUCUCCAGUUCCAAACUCUUUGACCUCGUGCAGACACACAUACUCACACUUGCACACUCAUGUGCAUGAACAUAGUUCAAUAGCAUCUAUGCUGAAAAAAAAACCAAAUACAGCAAAAAAUGAAUCAGAAAAAGGCACAUCUAAUUCAUUAACAGUAAGUACUGGUUUUUAUCAUCCAUAACUGCAACAAAGUAACAGAGGCGUAGAGUUUAUGCGUUGGGCAAUAAUUUCCAAUUUCAAAGAACAUUAGAUUAGUCAAAAAAAUUUCAAACCCUCACAACUUACCUUCGUGCUUUGUCUUUAUGCAGUCACUGUUAAGGUUUUGGGUGCAAAGAAAACGCAACAUCAGUUAUAUGCCAUUAAUUGAUAGAACAGAGGCAUUUUCAACAUGUGAUGUUGUCCAAUAACAGGGAACAUAGUAAACGAAAGAUGAUGGAAAGGGACUAAAGGGGUACCCAAUUAGGUUUAUAUGAGAAAUAUGAAAAUAGAUAGAGAAAAAAAAAAUGUAUAAUGGAGAAGUAGACUGAAAAAGGUCAAGAUGAAGUCUCUCAGUCAUUUGUGGUCUAACAUGCAACAGGCUAUCAAAAGCAUAUUCUUCAGUGAGUUGAAGAAAUGACAAACAUUUGUGUCCAUCCUGGAGAA